GGCCUGAUGGUCUAGGAGUAUGAUUCGUUGUUAGGGUGGUGCCAGACAUGGAAUAUCUUUCGACGAGGUCCCGGGUUCAAUUCCCGGUCAGGCCC